UACGGAGGGGGCUAGCGUUGUUCGGAAUUACUGGGCGUAAAGCGCACGUAGGCGGCUUUGUAAGUUAGAGGUGAAAACCCAGGGCUUAACCCUGGAAUUGCCUUUAAGACUGCAUCGCUAGAAUUGUGGAGAGGUAAGUGGAAUUCCGAGUGUAGAGGUGAAAUUCGUAGAUAUUCGGAAGAACACCAGAAGCGAAGGCGGCCAACUGGCCCGAUACUGACGCUGAGGCGCGAAACGUGGGGAGCAAACAGG
rnacentral:rRNA from 1 species